rnacentral:miRNA from 1 species
CUUCCAGUAGCACCUUAGAGACCAACUAAGUUUGUUAUUGGUAUGAGCUUUCGUGUGCACGCACACUUCUUCAGAUAAGCUCAUACCAAUAACAAACUUAGUUGGUCUCUAAGGUGCUACUGGAUG